CGACCCAUUCAUCACAUUCGGCAUUAUAAACUGACACGGACUUUGAGUACCGGCCUCCGACAGCCCACAGUUUAUCACCUACAAAAACACAACCCAUGCAACUACGUCCAACGUUCAAAGAGCACAUCUAUGAAAAGGUCAUAACGCUCGACUGUUUUAUUUCCGGAAAGUCCACAUAAAACGUAUAUGCUGCCUUUGUGUACGGCUGCCUAAAAUGUAAAGUUUUAUGCAUACAUUAGGACAAAUCGACCUCUGAUUAUGCUUUUAUCGUAGGCGACAAAAGGUAAAAUGGCGCUUACGUUAUUUUUCCUGAACAUGCUGAGAGGAAAGUUAUCAAAGAAUUGGCGCUUGCGAUAGUUUUUAUGUUGUAUAAUUUGGAUAUUUAUAAACGAAGGAGUGCCGGUACUUUAAGGAUUUUUUGAAAAAACUGAAUUUUAAGUCAAUUAAAUAUAAACAUUGUCAAUCAGCAGAAUAAGCUCAACAUAUUUUCAACUUUAACUGUUUGGCGCAUCUACUAUAUUGUCCACAAGUUGCCUUCGUGGAUGCAGAGUUUAGCUCAUUCAAUUCUCUACAAACUAAAACGACCACAUUGGCGCUACUAUUUGGUAUUUUUUCACGUCUGUUUUUUAAGAAUGAGAAAAAAGUAAAAUUUAAUCCUUGACUAGAAUACGUUCAGUGCCAAAAUCUUCAUAUUAGGGAGAUUUUUGGUAAGUUUCGAAAUCUGUUGUUAUAUUCCUCGACUCGUCGUGCGUUUUAAACCUAGUUAUUGGAGAGGAAAAAAUUGCUAAACGAAAACUUUUAAUCAAAUACUAAAA